UUCCCCAAAAGUAUCCAAUAGGCCAGUGGUCGGCAAAUAGUGGCCCGCGGGCCAAUUUUGGCCCGCCAUCUAUUCUAUCUGGCCCGCGAGAUGACGUUAA